CAAAAUAAUGGCAUUUGCAGCAACCUGGAUGGAAUUGGAGACGAUUAUUCUAAGUGAAGUAACUCAGGAAUGGAAAACCAAACAUUGUAUGCUCUCACACAUAAGUGGGAGCUAAGCUUUGAAGAUGCAAAGGCGUAAGAAUGACUUAAUGGACUUUGGGGACUCGAGGGAAAGGGUGGGAGGAGGUGAGGGAUAAAAGACUACACACUGAGUACAGUCUACACUACUCUGGUGAUGGGUGCACCUAAAUCUCAGAAAUCACCGCUAAAGAAUUUAUUCAUGUAACCAAACACCACCUGUUCCCCAAAAACCUACUGGAAUAAAAAAUAAAAAUAAAAUAAAAUGUGAGAAAUGCAACACACAAAAAAAACUAAAAAUAAAAUAUAUUUUUAUUUAAAAAAAGAAGAAGAAGUCAUAGCAAAGUCACUCCUGGAGCUUCUGUAGGGAAGAAAUUUAAACAAGAAAAUGUAUCCUUCAGAAGACAGGUAUAAAAUUAAAUUAUCAAAAGUAGUACAACCACCUCCUCUCACCCUAGCCACUAUCAUCAUCUCAGAUGAUCAAUUGUAUCUAUGAUAAAUCAUAAAAUUCAAAAGUGCUAACUAUAAGGCAUUAACUCAAGCCUUGGCUAAAAAGCACAAGUAGAGAUAAUAUGAAUGUCCUGAUUACUCAUUCUUUCAAAUAUACACAGCAAGCAUAUUCUUUAGGAAGGAACAUACUUUAGAGAUGUGUUUUUAAAAGUCCUAUAGUUGGCUUACUUUAGUUACUUUAGGAAAAAAAAUCAAAAAGUUAACAGAGCAAAGAUAUCAAAGUUUUGAAAAAUGCCAAUCUAGGAUCUAUUGUCCCUUGACAUUCUAAAAAUAAAUAACAUGCUAAAUUCCAAUAAAAGAAAUUUUAUCACUUUUGCUGCUAUAGAAGAAUGGCUGCAUUUUCAAGUUCACAAAGGAACACUGCUAGUAAUAAAUAUUUCCAAACUGGUAAACAUUGAAAAAAUCUACUUAAAGGAAUAUCCAUUCUGGUUGAUUCUAUUCAACAUUAUACUGGAGGCUCUAGCAAGAACAAUUUGGC
rnacentral:lncRNA from 1 species